rnacentral:tRNA from 1 species
GCGCUUGUAGCUCAGUUGGAUAGAGCAACGGCCUUCUAAGCCGUGGGUCGCGGGUUCGAGUCCUGCCGGGCGCGCCA